CUGAUGUUAGCGGCGGACGGGUGAGUAACACGUGGGUAACCUGCCUGUAAGAGUGGGAUAACUCCGGGAAACCGGGGCUAAUACCGGAUGCUUGUUUGAACCGCAUGGUUCAAACAUAAAAGGUGGCUUCGGCUACCACUUACAGAUGGACCCGCGGCGCAUUAGCUAGUUGGUGAGGUAACGGCUCACCAAGGCAACGAUGCGUAGCCGACCUGAGAGGGUGAUCGGCCACACUGGGACUGAGACACGGCCCAGACUCCUACGGGAGGCAGCAGUAGGGAAUCUUCCGCAAUGGACGAAAGUCUGACGGAGCAACGCCGCGUGAGUGAUGAAGGUUUUCGGAUCGUAAAGCUCUGUUGUUAGGGAAGAACAAGUACCGUUCGAAUAGGGCGGUACCUUGACGGUACCUAACCAGAAAGCCACGGCUAACUACGUGCCAGCAGCCGCGGUAAUACGUAGGUGGCAAGCGU
rnacentral:rRNA from 1 species